rnacentral:tRNA from 3 species
GCUGGCGUAGCUCAAUUGGUAGAGCAACGGUCUUGUAAACCGUAGGUUGCGGGUUCGAGUCCCAUCGCCAGCUCCA